rnacentral:rRNA from 1 species
UACGGAGGGUGCAAGCGUUAUCCGGAUUCACUGGGUUUAAAGGGUGCGUAGGUGGGCUAGUAAGUCCGUGGUGAAAUCUCCAAGCUUAACUUGGAAACUGCCGUGGAUACUAUUAGUCUUGAAUAUUGUGGAGGUAAGCGGAAUACGUCAUGUAGCGGUGAAAUGCUUAGAUAUGACAUAGAACACCGAUAGCGAAGGCAGCUUGCUACACAAUCAUUGACACUGAGGCACGAAAGCGUGGGGAGCAAACAGG